rnacentral:rRNA from 1 species
UACGUAGGGACCAAGCGUUGUUCGGAUUUACUGGGCGUAAAGGGCGCGUAGGCGGCGUGUUAAGUCACUUGUGAAAUCUCUAAGCUUAACUUAGAACGGUCAAGUGAUACUGAUGUGCUAGAGUGCAGAAGGGGCAACCGGAAUUCUUGGUGUAGCGGUGAAAUGCGUAGAUAUCAAGAGGAACACCGGUGGCGAAGGCGGCAUCCUGGACCAAUAUUGACGCUGAGGAGCGAAAGCUAGGGGAGCAAACGGG